UACGUAGGGCGCAAGCGUUGUCCGGAAUUAUUGGGCGUAAAGAGCUCGUAGGCGGCUUGUUGCGUCGACUGUGAAAACCCGCGGCUUAACCGCGGGCCUGCAGUUGAUACGGGCAGGCUAGAGUUCGGUAGGGGAGACUGGAAUUCCUGGUGUAGCGGUGAAAUGCGCAGAUAUCAGGAGGAACACCGGUGGCGAAGGCGGGUCUCUGGGCCGAUACUGACGCUGAGGAGCGAAAGCGUGGGGAGCGAACAGG
rnacentral:rRNA from 1 species